rnacentral:rRNA from 1 species
CACGUAGGGCGCGAGCGUUGUCCGGAAUUAUUGGGCGUAAAGAGCUCGUAGGCGGCCUGUUGCGUCCGCUGUGAAAGCCCGGGGCUUAACCCCGGGUCGGCAGUGGAUACGGGCAGGCUAGAGGUAGGUAGGGGAGAAUGGAAUUCCCGGUGUAGCGGUGAAAUGCGCAGAUAUCGGGAGGAACACCGGUGGCGAAGGCAGGUCUCUGGGCCACUACUGACGCUGAGAAGCGAAAGCAUGGGGAGA